UCAAAGGAUUUACAAGUUUUAGAUAUAUGUAGACCUCAUGUCUAAUAAAACUAAAUGGCCAAAAAGAUCCAUAAGAAAAUAGGUUGUAUAAAAUAUACCUACAAAACAUAAGAAAAACAUAUGUACAAAAUAGGUUUUGGUUCAAUUUUUUAUGAAUCAAAACCGAACCAAAACAGUAAAUCUAAGUUUAGUUCUUACAGUAAGAGUUCUUUUUUGGUUCCGGUAUGGUACAAUUUCUUCAGCUUGGUUUGGAACAUCUAAAAACCGUGCACAGUCACACCUCGGUUCGGAACAUCUAGAAACUGUGCACAGUCACACCUAUUCAAUAGAUGCAUCUUAGGUCCACAGUAAUGGCAUCCAUCAUAUAUAAAGCACUUAACGCUGAGAAAUUCACAUUAUUUUUCAAAAAUUCAUUUUUGAAACAAAAUCCAGAAUCCUUGUAAAUAGUUUACUCCAAGUGUAUAAUUCCAGGACAAACAAGGAAAAGAUAAUAACUUGCAAGUUGGUAGAAUCAUUAGAGAUAAAGCAAUCUUAAGUAUUAAUUCUGCUACUAGUGCAUGUGUGUGUGUGUGAGUGCGUGUGUGAGUGCACGUGUGUGUGAGUGUGUGUGCGUGUGUGUAUAGAGAGAGAGAGAG
rnacentral:misc_RNA from 1 species